rnacentral:rRNA from 1 species
GGCCUUCGGGUUGUAAACCUCUUUUGUCCGGGAAGAAACCGUCUGCGCUAAUACCCUGGACUAAUGACGGUACCCGAAUAAUAAGCACCGGCUAACUACGUGCCAGCAGCCGCGGUAAUACGUAGGGUGCAAGCGUUAAUCGGAAUUACUGGGCGUAAAGCGUGCGCAGGCGGUUUGGCAAGACAGAUGUGAAAUCCCCGGGCUCAACCUGGGAACUGCAUUUGUGACUGCCUGGCUGGAGUUUGGCAGAGGGA